UACGUAGGGGCCUAGCGUUGUCCGGAUUUAUUGGGCGUAAAGAGCUCGUAGGCGGUUCGGUAAGUCAGGUGUGAAAUCUCCACGCUCAACGUGGAGGGGCCACCUGAUACUGCCGUGACUCGAGUCCGGUAGGGGAGUGUGGAAUUCCCGGUGUAGCGGUGAAAUGCGCAGAGAUCGGGAGGAACACCCGUAGCGAAGGCGGCACUCUGGGCCGGUACUGACGCUGAGGAGCGAAAGCGUGGGGAGCAAACAGG
rnacentral:rRNA from 1 species